rnacentral:lncRNA from 1 species
AGGGAAACGCAGACUGGGAGGAGCGAGAGCGGCCGGGAAGCUGCUGGCUCCCCCGCUGUCCCCGCGUAGGCCAGCGCUGCCGCGCGCCUUCCCGGCUCCCGCCCGCCCCCGGGCGUCCCCGGCCCGCUCACCAGUCAAGCCCCACUGCUGUAAGUCCGGUUCCUGCACCCGCGUCCGAAGCGGCUCCGGCCCGUGUUCGGCCGGCAGCGCCUGCAGGAAGCGCGGCAAGCCGCUCGCCAUCCCGAGAGGCCCCGCGCCUUCGCUCCCGCGCGUGCGGAGUACAACGCACCGCCGCCAGAGGGCGCAGCUCGCGCGCCUUCCCACGCUUCCUUAGCACGCAGGUGCGGAAGACUCUGGUCUAAGUGUGCGUCUGCGACUAGGACCUAGAGGCUGCCUUUGCUAAAAGCUCUGACUCCUAACUUGGGUUGCUUGGGUAGCUAACAGCAAGCUCAAAACUUGGCAAGCUCCCCACCCCCCCUUAAUUUCUUAUCUGUCUUCUUUAAACUUUGGGUCCGAUUCCUGAGCAGCUUUCCAUGUUUUCAGUUACGAUGCACAUGCCUAAAAACUAGUACUACAAGGUAGAUACGUCUUAUAUUAUCUAACCUUUUUCUUCAUGUAUGACUAAAAACACCAAAAUAAGAUUAACUUUAUCUCUUAAAAUGUGUAGUGACAAGAUACAUUCAAAGAAAAGACCCUGGUGGUACAUUCCUGUAAUCUCAGCAUUGGGGAGGCUGAGGCAGGAGAAUUUGUGAGUUCAGUCUAGCCUGGGCUGCAAAGCAGGAAGGUGUCAAUAAAUAAUAAAGAUCAAAGCUCAGUUAGCAGAAUGCUUGCCUCGAAUGUACCAAGCCCUCGGGUGGGGCAUGAGGGUGAGCACCUGUAAUCCUAGCCCUAGGGAGCUGUCGGCAGGAGGACCGGAGCUCACGGUCAGCCUCAGCUACACAAGUUUGAAACCAGCCUAAGGUGCAGUAAACCUUUUCUUAAAAAUAAAGUGCGAGAGAACUUCCCCCCCCCCCAUCCCCUCAAGAUUCCAAGAGUAGCCAUUCAAACAGAACAUCUAUGUGUGAUAAAAACAAAAACAAAUAACAAAUAACUAAUGGCCACGUUGUCCUAAGAAGGACCAAGGCUGGCCCCACUAUGCAGAAGUAGUCCUCUAAUGACUAAGGGACUUUACCCAUCCCGUUAUACAGACUUCUCCAGGAACACACAGAACCAGAACUGAGGUACAACCAGAUCAAGAGGGGAGAUGUCAGAUACACCAAGGUCAUCGCACCCCUCUGUGAUCAAUUAUCCCGUUAUACAGACUUCUCCAGGAACACACAGAACCAGACCUGAGGUACAACCAGAUCAAGAGUGGAGGUGUCAGAUACACCAAGGUCAUCGCACCCCUCUGUGAUCAAUUACGUUGAGGUUAAAGAUUAACUCAAAAAAAAAAAAAAAAAAACAGUUCUCAGUGGGUACUUGAAGUUUCUUGUUUAUAAUAUGAACUACUAGUGGGCUCUUACAAGAACAUAGUGUGUUAUCUGUCCCUUACCAGUGGAACUGAACAAACUUGCCCCCGUUUUCCAAUAGAGCUGUAUUGAAUACAGUCCUUUUUUCACUAGUCGUUUUUCCAUUUGAUUGGGGGGGGAGGGGCAAAUGGCUGGACCUGGUUUGUUGAGAGUCCCCCCAAAUCAAAACUCUGGCAGCACUUCUGACCGUACUCUUGAGUCCCCAAGUCACUAGAAAUGCUUACCAAGGGUUGGUUUUGAGUAUCAGCUGUUAUUUAACCAACACUGCCAUCGUGUGCCUCGUGUGCCAGAUUUCCCCUGUACUGGGGAAAUAGAAUUCAGUUAACAGUCCAGGCAGACAGUGCUAAAGCUGUAGCUGGAGGCACUCCGGUUCUCCUGAAGUGCUUUCCACUCACUUAUAACCGCUUUCUUCCCCUCCAUCUAGGAAUAAAAUUAAAAUUGGAAAGAAAGUGAUUGAUGCCGACCAAAGCCAUGGGCGUUGCAUAGUGGGGCUGGACUGACCCUGUAGGCUAGCUUGUCGGUGGCAAGGCUUCCUCAAACUCCUGAGAGGAAGGUGUGACUUUCAAGGGCUUCUCUGGAGUGAUUUUGCAUCUGGUCUCUCUGUCUCACUUCCUUCUCCCCAGGUUCUAAUCUGCUAAAGCAAUGCAGUCAACCACUCGCCACUUAUUCAAAAGCAUUCCUAUUUUCUUCUUACUUAAAGUAAUCCAGAGAGAGAUAAGAAUCUAGCUUUAAAGGAAGCAGACUGCUGAUACAUUGAAUCUGACACUUAAAACACAGCUAAGAAGAAAAAAAAAAAUAAGUAGCUGGGAAAUUCCAGGUCUGUGCAUGAGGUAACAUGAAAGUUUUACUCUGGCUCUUACAUGAAAUGAAUCUAUAGAGGGCAGGGUGGAAGCAGAGAGACAGUUCAGAGGCCAUCACAAAAGCAUGGGCAGGAGGUGGUGUGUGGUCAGCGUGAUGCAGGGUAGCUAUGAGGAGUAGAUACACUGAACAGGUCAAGCCAGUAGGAAUCACCUAGAGAGAAAUGGAGUGGAGGAGGCUCGCUUUUGGAAUUCAGCCUGCAUACAUGGUAGAAAACGUCACAUGAAGGAAAGAAGACAGGAUGAGGGAUUCAGAGACUAUCAUGAAUCCCCAGGUGUCCUGGAAGUGCAUGAAGACAGAGUAUCCCCAUUCAGUAUUGGUGGGAACACCAAUUAGCACAAUCAUGAAAAUGGCGAGUUGCUCAUACAUCUAGGACUAGAACAGUAAUAUGACGGAGCAGUUCCCCUACUGCACAUAUAUCUAAAGAAGCGAUCAUCUGUUUCAGAGAGCUAUCUGCACCUCCAUGCUUACUGCAGCUGAUUUUCUAACAACAGCCAAAAGGUAGAAUUGGAGGACACCAUGCUGGAAGGACGGCAGUGGGCAAGUGGAGAGGCACAGCCCCGGGGGCUUCAUUUCUGGCUUGCUUCUAGCUGCUGUUUGCCGUUGCUGUCUUUCUCAUAUAUCUAAUGUGGUGUGAGUGGGUCUGGGAAGACCCUCACUGCCUAUAGUCUGGUGUGGUUGCCUCUUGGGAGACAGCCCACUCUGUUGGGCAACUUUCCUACACAUCGGUAUGAAGAUGAACUUUCAUAAAAUAAUAUCGUUUAGAUGAAACUAAUGAUAUUAGAGAAUUCCUGAUUUGAUUUAAAUAGUUUUAGGAAGUUAGAGUCGUUGAUAGAAAGUUUAAGGAGGUGGUUUAGGUGGCUUUGCUAGGAAGGUAUAAUAAAGUUAGAAUUAACAGUAGGAGCACGGGGAGCGUCCGUGCGUGGCAAGCACGAAAUUGUACUAGGAAGGGAAACACAGGCUUGCGACAGCUAAUGGUCAAAGGAAACAGUCAUUCCCAGCUUGGUUCUGAGUCCUGGAGCUUGUGAUCUAGGGAUGUGGCCACAGGUUUUGGUGUGCACCGUGAAAAGAUGGGGUUAUGAACAAAAAAUAAAUCAUUCUAUAAUGAGUAUAAUAGAGAAUAUAUUAUUAGUCAUUUUAGCUGAACAAGUCUUCAAAACUAAGACAUAAGAGAGAUGAUGAGCUGUUUCUUACUAAAUACAAAUUGUCGUCAGGGAGAAACUUGCUACUAUAGGCUGGCUGGCUUAAACUUUGUUAAUCAAUGACAAAAGAAUUACUGCUUUGGGGUUAUGAUGAACUUAUAGAGAGAAAGAUAGAUGGGAGAUGUUUAAUUAUGAGUUUCAAAAGAAUACAUUAAUAAUCCUGUUGUAAGCUCCUUUUGUGUAAUGUUUUAAGCUGUUCUUGAAGAACAUGUUCUUAUGGUGAUUGUUUUUAGAGUGUAACUUAUAGCUAUGAGGUAAUCUUUUUUUCUUGCAUGGAGAAUUUUUGUGUUAGAUGGUGUAAAAAGUCUAGGAGAAAAAAUAAAGUUGUUGAAGCCUG